rnacentral:lncRNA from 1 species
GCUGGCACCAACCUACAACCUAACUGUAUGUAUCACCACGUCCCACAUUUUCUAUUACUGGAAAUAGAAAAGGGGCUGCUGAAUAGCAUCAAGAGGUUGCUCUGUAGAGCAAAGCUUCUCUUAGUGCAAGGCACUUUCCUGUCAGCUCAAAAAGCAAAACGGGUACAACUUGAGUUGGGUUACAAUAGGAUGGUGCACACUUGGUGCCUCUGCACUGAUGUGAGUUAUGAUUCCUUGGCUGCUAAGGAACCUGGGUUUUCUGUUUUUCUUUUGUAUAGGACAGGGACUGAAUUACUCACUUGAUUGCCUUCUUAAAGGUUUUCUGAUAUAUGAUAAAUUGACUAAAUUAAACAGGAAGAAAUUUGUUCCCAGAUAUAUGACCAGUUUGGAGCAUCAGAGGUCUUUGUUUCAGGAAGACACUAAGCUCUACUCCUUCCAACAGGCUUCCCCCUCCCCAUUCCUUUAGGUCAUCUAACUACUUCCCUCCAAACCACAGCCAUUAUUCC